rnacentral:rRNA from 1 species
AUUGAACGCUGGCGGCAUGCCUUACACAUGCAAGUCGAACGGCAGCACGGGUGCUUGCACCUGGUGGCGAGUGGCGAACGGGUGAGUAAUACAUCGGAACGUACCUUAUCGUGGGGGAUAACGCAGCGAAAGCUGUGCUAAUACCGCAUACGCCCUGAGGGGGAAAGCGGGGGAUCGCAAGACCUCGCGCGAUUAGAGCGGCCGAUGCCUGAUUAGCUUGUUGGUGGGGUAAAAGCCCACCAAGGCGACGAUCAGUAGCUGGUCUGAGAGGAAGAUCAGCCACACUGGGACUGAGACACGGCCCAGACUCCUACGGGAGGCAGCAGUGGGGAAUUUUGGACAAUGGGGGCAACCCUGAUCCAGCAAUGCCGCGUGAGUGAAGAAGGCCUUCGGGUUGUUAAGCUCUUUUGUCAGGGAAGAAACACCGGCUCUAACACAGUCCGGGAAUGACGGUACCUGAAGAAUAAGCACCGGCUAACUACGUGCCAGCCGCCGCAGUAA